UACAGGGGGUGCAAACGUUGCUCGGAAUCAUUGGGCGUAAAGCGCACGUAGGCGGUUCGUUAUGUCGGAUGUGAAAGCCCUUGGCUUAACCGAGGAAGUGCAUCCGAAACUGGCGAGCUAGAGUACGGGAGAGGUGAGUGGAACUGCGAGUGUAGAGGUGAAAUUCGUAGAUAUUCGCAAGAACACCAGUGGCGAAGGCGGCUCACUGGCCCGGUACUGACGCUGAGACACGAAAGCCAGGGGAGCGAACGGG
rnacentral:rRNA from 1 species